CGUCCUCUGAUCUGGUGACUGUUGUCUAUGGGCGCUGAAAUCGCGGUGGAGAUGGGCUUGCUGGAGGUGUUGCUGAAACCUUUGCUGGUA